rnacentral:rRNA from 2 species
UGGGGAAUCUUGCGCAAUGCGCGAAAGCGUGACGCAGCAACGCCGCGUGGGGGAAGAAGGCCUUCGGGUUGUAAACCCCUUUCAGGAGGGACGAAGCCUCGGCCGUUAAUAGCGGAUCGGGGUGACGGUACCUCCAGAAGAAGCCCCGGCUAACUACGUGCCAGCAGCCGCGGUAAUACGUAGGGGGCAAGCGUUGUCCGGAAUCAUUGGGCGUAAAGCGCGUGUAGGCGGUCCGGUAAGUCGGCUGUGAAAGUCCAGGGCUCAACCCUGGGAUGCCGGUCGAUACUGCCGGACUAGAGUUCGGAAGAGGCGAGUGGAAUUCCCGGUGUAGCGGUGAAAUGCGCAGAUAUCGGGAGGAACACCAAUGGCGAAGGCAGCUCGCUGGGACGUUACUGACGCUGAGACGCGAAAGCGUGGGGAGCAAACAGG